AAAUAGAACUUUGCAGAGAGAGUUAAGAGGGCGUGAAACCGUUAAUUGGCAAACGAAUCGGAGCCGCGAAGUCGUUUCGUCGAGCUAGGUCGGGUUCAGCUUGCAACCUUCGGGUUGCUGGCGUAUUCUCGUGCCAAGCCAAUGUAAGCGUACACUGCAACCAGUUAGACAAUUGUCCAUGGAACCAGUUGAUCUUGGAUGCGCAAGCAUCUAAGUUUAGCGAACGGUUUGUUUGGUCAGGUUAGUAGUAGUGUGCUGUGGACUUGUCCUCAGUGUGCUGCUGGAUCUGUUGCCAAGUGACCUAUGGGCAAAUACUGACUGGCAAAAUGAAAAUCGCGCGCAAGCGUGUGCACAAAUUGCGCCUUGUUGUAUGAUAGGCUACACAAUCCACCGUGGAUAUAUUAAAGUUCGGUGCUUUUGAAUUUGGACUUGCUAGCUACCAAUGGGGCAACUCUUGGUGCUAGUAUAGCUUCCAUCUAAUCGGGUGCUGGCUUGUAUUCACGUCGUUGUGGUUGUGCUACGAUCGGUCUACAUAUAAGCGAGUGCGUGAAAAUUGGCAGUGAGUAGGUCGGCUUUCCGAACGACCCGUCUUGAAACACGGACCAAGGAGUCUAAUUAGCAUCGAGUCGAUCGGUCUUGUUUAGGCCAGACUGGUUGGGCUUGUCCCAGCCGAUUGAAGGCGUAGAGAAAUCAAAUCAUGUGAUCGUUUGGACCCAAAAGGUCUGGAUGCGCAACAUGUGCCUGUUCGUAUGAGAGUGUUUAACAAAACCUCUCGAGCGGAGCAAAGAGAUGCCUGAUUGGUACCCGAAAGAUGGUGAACUAUGCUUGGGCAAAUUGAAGCCAGAGGAAACUCUGGUGGAGGAUUGUAGCGAUUCUGACGUGCAAAUCGAUCGUCAGACCUGAGUAUAGGGGCGAAAGACUAAUCGAACCAUC
rnacentral:rRNA from 1 species